rnacentral:rRNA from 1 species
GACGUAGGGCGCGAGCGUUUGUCCGGAUUUAUUGGGCGUAAAGAGCUCGUAGGCGGCUUGUCGCGUCGUCCGUGAAAACUUGGGGCUCAACCCCAAGCUUGCGGUCGAUACGGGCAGGCUAGAGUUCGGUAGGGGAGACUGGAAUUCCUGGUGUAGCGGUGAAAUGCGCAGAUAUCAGGAGGAACACCGAUGGCGAAGGCAGAUCUCUGGGCCGUAACUGACGCUGAGGAGCGAAAGCAUGGGGAGCGAACAGG